GAUGAACGCUGGCGGCGUGCCUAAUACAUGCAAGUCGAGCGAACAGACGAGGAGCUUGCUCCUCUGACGUUAGCGGCGGACGGGUGAGUAACACGUGGAUAACCUACCUAUAAGACUGGGAUAACUUCGGGAAACCGGAGCUAAUACCGGAUAAUAUAUUGAACCGCAUGGUUCAAUAGUGAAAGACGGUUUUGCUGUCACUUAUAGAUGGAUCCGCGCCGCAUUAGCUAGUUGGUAAGGUAACGGCUUACCAAAGCAACGAUGCGUAGCCGACCUGAGGGGGGAGUCGGCAAAACGGAAACGGAAACACGGCACAAACACCAAGGGGGGGAAAAGGGAGGGAAUUUUCCGAAAGGGGGGAAAGCCUGACGGGGCAACGCCGGGGGGGGGAUGAGGUUUUUGGGAUCGUAAAACUUUUUUGUUGGGGAAAAAAAAAUGGGAAAGAAACUAUGCCCGUCUUAACGGUACCAAAAAAGAAAGCCACGGCUACCUACGG
rnacentral:rRNA from 1 species